CAGCAGCCACGGUAAUACGUAGGUCCCGAGCGUUGUCCGGAUUUAUUGGGCGUAAAGCGAGCGCAGGCGGUUUGAUAAGUCUGAAGUUAAAGGCUGUGGCUCAACCAUAGUUCGCUUUGGAAACUGUCAAACUUGAGUGCAGAAGGGGAGAGUGGAAUUCCAUGUGUAGCGGUGAAAUGCGUAGAUAUAUGGAGGAACACCGGUGGCGAAAGCGGCUCUCUGGUCUGUAACUGACGCUGAGGCUCGAAAGCGUGGGGAGCGAGCAGGAUUAGAUACCCCAGUAGUCCCUGUCUCUUAUACC
rnacentral:rRNA from 1 species